UCUCUUCCUGCUCUCCAUCAUGGCGCAGGAUCAAGGUGAAAAGGAGAACCCCAUGCGGGAACUUCGCAUCCGCAAACUCUGUCUCAACAUCUGUGUUGGGGAGAGUGGAGACAGACUGACCCGAGCAGCCAAGGUGUUGGAGCAGCUCACAGGGCAGACCCCUGUGUUUUCCAAAGAAAUGAAAAGAUUGCUGUCCACUGCACCGUUCGAGGGGCCAAGGCAGAAGAAAUCUUGGAGAAGGGUCUAAAGGUGAGC
rnacentral:lncRNA from 1 species